rnacentral:rRNA from 1 species
UACGGGGGGGAGCAAGCGUUGUUCGGAUUUACUGGGCGUAAAGGGCGCGUAGGCGGUCAGCACAAGUCAGUUGUGAAAUCUCCGGGCUUAACUCGGAAAGGUCAGCCGAUACUGCGGGGCUAGAGUGCAGAAGGGGCAACUGGAAUUCUCGGUGUAGCGGUGAAAUGCGUAGAUAUCGAGAGGAACACCUGCGGCGAAGGCGGGUUGCUGGGCUGACACUGACGUGGAGGCGCGAAAGCUAGGGGAGCGAACGGGG